UUGCUUGCUUUGUCAUCAAAAUAAAAUUUGAACAAUACAGAGAAGAUUAGCAUGGCCUCUGUGCAAGGAUGACACACAACUUUGAGAAGUGUUUCAUAUUUUU
ensembl:snRNA U6 U6 spliceosomal RNA